UACAGAGGGUGCAAGCGUUGCUCGGAAUUAUUGGGCGUAAAGGGUAGGUAGGUGGUCUCGUUUGUCUGAGGUGAAAGCCCUGGGCUUAACCUAGGAAGUGCCUCGGAAACGGCGAGACUUGAGUCCUGGAGAGGGUCGUGGAAUUCCCGGUGUAGCGGUGAAAUGCGUAGAGAUCGGGAGGAAUACCAGAGGCGAAGGCGACGACCUGGACAGGCACUGACACUCAACUACGAAAGCGUGGGGAUCAAACAGG
rnacentral:rRNA from 1 species